UACGUAGGGUGCAAGCGUUAAUCGGAAUUACUGGGCGUAAAGCGUGCGCAGGCGGUUAUGCAAGACAGAUGUGAAAUCCCCCGGGCUCAACCUGGGGAACUGCAUUUGUGACUGUAUAGCUAGAGUACGGUAGAGGGGGAUGGAAUUCCGCGUGUAGCAGUGAAAUGCGUAGAUAUGCGGAGGAACACCGAUGGCGAAGGCAAUCCCCUGGACCUGUACUGACGCUCAUGCACGAAAGCGUGGGGAGCAAACAGG
rnacentral:rRNA from 1 species